UUCAGCUAAAGUGCCCAAUCUAUACAGAUGCUGUAGAGCUGGGCUGAAGUAAGGUGCUGCUUCUUCUUCUGGUCCCAUCUACUACUCCCUCAGCUACCUUCUUCUUCCCCCAGGAGAAGAUUAGAUAACUGCUGCAAGAGAGCCACCAGAGAAGCUCUUAGUGGUCCUGGACUGUUGUGCUGCUAUUGAAGAAAUGAGACAUCAAGGCAGCUCUGUCAAAAUUUCGACUGGUGUCAGGUGAGAUUCAUCAGUCUGUGAUCCCCAGGAUCCUGGCUAGUGCAUUUUUCACAAGCUAAAGGUUUUAAGACACAUUUACAAAAUACUUGUCAAUUCAAAAUAUCUUCCGUUUGCAAACACAUCUGCAUUUCUGUGAUCAAGAUGGACAUUUACAUGAGCAAACAGUGAACAAGCAGUGACACAUGAAGGCAGUGUUUGCAGUCAGCAUUUCUCAGGACUGAAUCCUGCUGAACAUACCUUAGAAUGUCCCUGUACAAUUGGGUGCUUGCUGAAGCUUCUGGGUGCUGGACGGGGCGGAAGUGAAAAGCACCCUCUUCUUGUGUGUUUUGCACAAAAUGAACUUUUCCAGCCAGGAGAUCUAACAACACCUUCAACACUCCUGUGAAAUAUGAAUUUUCAUUUCCACCUAGGAGAAAUUUUACAAUCUUUGCAUUCUCUUAUGCCUGAAGAAGGGUGAAUGUGCCUGAAAGCUUGCAAAUAAAGAUUUUUUUGCAAAU